AACCGAAAAAACUCACAGGGUUAAUGCUUUCCAAGAGUUCUCUUUUUGGACUGAUGGAAUAUACGGCAGUAAUUUGUGGAUUCUUGGACAUAAGGAACUACUAGGAAAUAUUGUGACUGACUUUUCAAAAGGAGUAAUGAAGGAAAGACAGAGAUUAAUGCAUCAAAAAAAAUGGCAAGAGACAAAAGUAUUAUCCUUGAAACAAGGUUUUUUUGAAAUAUUAACAGACAAAAAUAUUAGUGUCCCGGCCCUUUAAGAGUGUCGGUCUGACAUAAUUAAGGUGGGAGGGGAGAUUAAUGUUUUGAAUUUAACAGAAAUGUUUUAGCGCGAACUCUAACGGACAUUGCAUUCCUGAUAUGAUUGACAACCAGAGACCUGCGGAAGAAGAUUACCACGGGACCCCGGGAAGGAGCUGGCAUUGGACCAGACCUGAUGACCUUUUGGGAAAGAGGAGGGAGGAAUAGGGUGAUACGGAUUGUUAGCCAUAUUUUGUCUCAGAUCCAACUUUGUACUGCUGCUAUCCAGAUGUAACUGGUUGAUCCACCGCUGUUUCUUUUCAUCCCAAACAAUCUGGAGAUAGAUAAAGAAGAAUGAAGCAACGUUUUCCGACAGGAGCCAGAUUCAGCUGCUAAACCUGGAACUGCAGAAAAAACAAUGGCUACCAACCUGCCUCCCAUUGAGGACCUGUAUACUGCACGAGUCAAAAAGAGGGCUGUGAAAAUAUUUACAGAUCCCUCACAUCCUGGACAUAAACUGUUUCAACUCCUUCCCUCAAAACGACGCUACAGAGCGCUGCACACCAGAAUAACUAGACACAAGAACAGUUUUUCCCCGAAGGCCAUCACUCUGCUAAACAAAUAAUUCCCUCAACACUGUCAAACUAGUUACUAAGUCUGCAUUACUAUUAAUCUUCUCAUCAUUCCCAUUACCCAACUCCUUCCACUUAUGACUGUAUGACUGUAACUUUGUUGCUUGUAUCCUUACAAUUUAUAUUGUUUCCCAGUAUGAUUUGAUUGUUUAUUUGUACCCUAUGACUAUCAUUAAGUAUUGUACCUUAUGAUUCUUGACAAAUGUAUCUUGUCUUUUUAUGUACACUGAGAGUUUAUGAACCAAAGACAAAUUCCUUGUGUCCAAUCACACUUGGCCAAUAAAGGGUUCUGUUCUGUUCUGUUCCUAUUUCUAUUCUAUUGAUCUGACCAUAGCCAACAUUUUACAGUUACA